AACCGCGAACGGCUCAUUAGAACAGUUAUUGUUCGCAAGAAAUGAUAUCCACUUGGAUAACUGUGGAAAUGCUAGAGCUAAUACACGCCACGAUGCUUUGGACUGUCUCGGUGCCAAAGCGCGUUUAUUGGUACAAUCUGUCAGCGUCAGGCCGGCUUCCUUGCGUUGCCGGUUCGCUGUUCAGUGGUUGAAACGGAGUAACUAUGCUGAUCGCACGGUCCUAGUACCGGCGACGAAUCUUUGAAAUGACUUGCUCAUCAACUGUCGAUGGUAGGUUACGUGCCUACCAUGGUGACAACGGUUAACGGAGAAUCAGGGUUCGAUUCCGGAGAAGGAGCCUGAGAGACGGCUACUACAUCCAAGGAAGGCAGCAGGCGCGCAAAUUACCCACUCCCAGAACGGGGAGGUAGUGACGAUAAAUAACGGAACGUAUCUCGAUGAGACGCGUUACCGGAACGAUUGAGCCUUAUAACAGCUCGACUAAAGCUAUUGGAGGGCAAGUCUGGUGCCAGCAGCCGCGGUAAUUCCAGCUCCAAUAGCGUAUAUUAAAGCUGCUGCGGUUGAACCGCUCGUAGUUGGAUUGCGAUUUUCGGCCACGGUCCUCUAAGUCAAGAGGAUUGGCUCUGCCGCCGUUGGUCAUGAUCGGUAUUGUCAUGCUUGUCCUUGAUGCUCUUUGCUGAGUGUCAUGGGUGACAUGGACGUUUACUUUGAGAAAAUAAGAGCGCUCAAAGCAGGCUGCUCAUAGCUUGAACGGAAUUUCAUGGGAUAGUGAAAGAUGAUCUCGCUGGUAGUGAAAAAACCACGAGGUAGAUGAUUAAAAGAGACAGACGGUGGCAUUCGUACUGCUGCGUAGAGGUAAAUCUGA
rnacentral:rRNA from 1 species